UACGUAGGGCGCAAGCGUUGUCCGGAAUUAUUGGGCGUAAAGAGCUCGUAGGCGGCCAGUUGCGUCUGCUGUGAAAUCCCGGGGCUCAACCCCGGGCGUGCAGUGGAUACGGGCUGGCUAGAGGCAGGCAGGGGAGAACGGAAUUCCCGGUGUAGCGGUGAAAUGCGCAGAUAUCGGGAGGAACACCGGUGGCGAAGGCGGUUCUCUGGGCCUGUUCUGACGCUGAGGAGCGAAAGCGUGGGGAGCGAACAGG
rnacentral:rRNA from 1 species